rnacentral:rRNA from 1 species
GCUACGGGCGGCAGCAGUCGAGAAUCAUUCACAAUGGGGGAAACCCUGAUGGUGCGACGCCGCGUGGGGGAAUGAAGGUCUUCGGAUUGUAAACCCCUGUCAUGUGGGAGCAAAUUAAAAAGAUAGUACCACAAGAGGAAGAGACGGCUAACUCUGUGCCAGCAGCCGCGGUAAUACAGAGGUCUCAAGCGUUGUUCGGAAUCACUGGGCGUAAAGCGUGCGUAGGCUGUUUCGUAGGUCGUGUGUGAAGGGGGCGGGCUCAACCCGCGGACGGCACAUGAUACUGCGAGACUAGAGUAAUGGAGGGGGAACCGGAAUUCUCGGUGUAGCAGUGAAAUGCGUAGAUAUCGAGAGGAACACUCGGGGCGAAGGCGGGUUCCUGGACAUUAACUGACGCUGAGGCACGAAGGCCAGGGGAGCGAAAGGGAUUAGAUACCCGGGUAGUC